rnacentral:rRNA from 1 species
CAAUAGCGUAUAUUAAAGUUGUUGCAGUUGAAAAGCUCGUAGUUGGAUUUCUGGUAGGAGUGACCGUUCCGAACUUGAUUGUUCGUGUAUUGUGUUUUCUCCAGCCAUCCUUGUGGAGAACUUUUCUUGCAUUAAUUUGUAGGGAUUGGGACCCGCAUCGUUUACUGUGAAAAAAUUAGAGUGUUUAAAGCAGGCAAUCGCUUGAAUACAUUAGCAUGGAAUAAUAAGAUAGGACUUUGGUACUAUUUUGUUGGUUUGCAUACCAAAUUAAUGAUCAACAGGAACAGUUUGAGGAUAUUCGUAUGAACAUGUCAGAGGUGGAAUUCUUGGAUUUUGAUCAGACGAACUACUGCGAAAGCAUUUAUCAAGGAUGUUUUCAUUAA